UACGUAGGGCGCAAGCGUUGUCCGGAAUUAUUGGGCGUAAAGAGCUCGUAGGCGGUCUGUUACGUCCGCUGUGAAAACACGGGGCUUAACCCCGUGCCUGCUUCUGAUACGGGCAGACUAGAGGUAUGCAGGGGAGAACGGAAUUCCUGGUGUAGCGGUGAAAUGCGCAGAUAUCAGGAGGAACACCGGUGGCGAAGGCGGGUCUCUGGGCCGGUACCGACGCUGAGGAGCGAAAGCGUGGGGAGCGAACAGG
rnacentral:rRNA from 1 species